GUUUCUGCUGUGCUACCGUGCUGGUGCUAGCGUCGUGAAUCGAAGGUUAAGGAGAGUCAGACCUCAAGGUCCCACUAUCUCAGGUUGGCAGUCUGCUGUCAGUUGCUUCAAGGGCUCUAUUUCGAAGCCCAAAGGUGUUGUUGCUGCGUGAAUCAUGACUUGCAUCUAGGGCAGUCGCGAUUGAGAAGUUCAACAUCGGAGACUAUAGAAAAAUGGCGAAGACACAGAGGCGGCUGAUGAUUGAUUGAAGAAAGAGUUUUUUGGGAGAGAACGGCACAAAGGCAGUAGGAACGAACGAAGACGCCGGCCUUAUUUGGUAAAAUUGAUGGAGAUGAAAAAUAAUUGGGUCGAGAUGAAAAGAUAAGGAAAAGAAAAGCAGAAAAAACUGCAUUUACGGCAUACAUAUGCACGCCAUAAUAAGUGUAAUUUUUUAACAAACACGUCGUACAUAUGCACGCCGUAAUAAAUCCAAUUCUUUUAACCAAACAAGGCAUGCCUUUAAAGAACAUCGCAAAUAUUCACAUUUUCCGGCGUGCAAAUACGUCAAGUUAUUAAUUUUUUUACGACAUACAAAAAGCGCAUGCCGUAAAUAGUCUUCUUUCACGAUAUGCCAUAAAUGCACGUCAUAAAUGCAUGUCGUAAAAACCUACUUUUGUUGUAGUAGAUUUAUUAAUUUCGCAAAUGUUGAAGAAGAAUCGCCCUCGAAUCUUUUAUCGUGUCUUUAAUCAAUACCUUGCAAUCAUCUCCUAGUCGCUUCAACCUAAUUUUCUACUUCAUAAUUAAAUUUAUUUGCAUCUAAUUGAUUUUACACCAAUUUAGUGUACCGUUAAAGAUGCUCUUAAGCAAUCAUCCAUAAAAAUUAGAGACCUAGAUACUCUAUCAUAUAAAGAUGAGUAUUGCUAUUUAUUUUCAGUAUAUACGUGGCUUUAAUUAUAAAAAAUCGAUUUCAUAUUUAUAAAUUUAAUCUCAAUAUUUUAUGAGACCAAUCAUAUAAAUUGGUGAAUUCUUUAAUGAAGAUAAAUAACAUUAUUCAUAAGAUUGAGGGCUGGGGUAAUAUGUUUUAGUUUUACUAAUAAUAGACUUGCCCUCCCCCCCCCCCAAUUUGAUAACAAUUUUUCACUCCAAAAAAUAAAAAAUAAAAAUUUAUCAUUAUUUCACUAUUUUAGCCAUCAUUUUUUACUUCUUCACUCACAGAUGGGAUCCAUUUUUCUCUCUAACGAUCAAAAAAUCAAUUUUCAUAAUCACUAUCGAAUGGGCCUUGAUCUAAUGCCAAUGGUGGGCAUGAAUUUUAAUGGCGUGGCAACAAAAUAGCGGAUGUUGCCAUGCCCACUAUAGACGUGACAACACAAUACUGGAUGUAGUCACGUUUAUGGUGGGCAUAUAAUUCAUGCGCCACGUGGCAGCAUCAACCGAUCAUAGGCAUUAGAUUAUUUAUAUUAUUAAUAAUAAUAUUACUAAUAUCGAUUAUCAAAAACAAGUAGAUAAUCACUAGACGAGAUCCAUCGUUCAAAAUUGGUGGUCCAACUUGCUAUUCAUUCAAUAAUUAUUGAUACUCAAUUUAAAUUAACAUGUUUAACUUUUAUCUCAUUACCACUUAUACUUAAAAAUAUGAAUCAUGCUACUUGUACAUUGAGUUUGAUAUUAUUCUUUACAUUACGCCACAUGAAGACAUCAUGUUGGACAUUUUGAAAAUAAAAAGCACUUUCUUGCGGACACUUAUUUUGAAAACAAUGAAAUAUCAAUAAUGAUGUCAAAAUGUUAAUGUACAAAUAGCAUUGUUGUAAAAAUAUAUGUAAAAUGACAAUAAAUAUUAACAAAGAAUUAUUAUAGUUGUACAACCAAAAUUUACUUGGUUAACAAUUAGUAGUGUUUGGAGAUUCACACUAUUGAUUAAAAAAACAAUUUUUUUAUCGUUAAAUGUGAAAAAAAAACAAUUUUUGAAGUGUAUGGUAUGAAUCUCUACCAACUCAUUGAUCUUAAACCAAAUUGCUAACUAAAUUGUAUACCUAGCAUGCUUCUAUAACAAAUCGGAGAGGCGAUUCUGGACAAUCUCAACUCAUAGAGCAUUACCUAACGAUGACAGCAAAUGCUUUUAAGUAGCCAUCAUUUGCAGUCUGUCCCACCCCAGCAUUAACACGCUUUCCCAGCACAAUUUCAUCUCAAAUUCGUCUUCAACACCAGCACAGAUCUACACUUAAUCGAUCUUUUCCAUCUCUUGGAAGUGUUUUUUACUAGUGUUGCAGCGGAGGGUUCCCCAAAAAUUUCCUUUUUGAUUACAUCGUCAGGUUAGUCGUAUUGUUUUAGUAAUUCAUUUCUGAUUUUAAGAUAUGUAGAAUAGUUGUUAUUUAACACACCCAUUUCUCAUUUCCUUGUGUUUUGUGAAGAAUAAUUUAUUUAACCUAGGUUUAUCUUCUGCUUCUUUGUGUCAAUUAAUCCAAUAGUUCAUGGUAAAAGAAUUAUUUCGUGUCCUUUUUUAGCAUUUUUUGAAGUAAUUUUUCUUUUGGGGUCUUGGUUUGUUGCGAGUUUCUGGGAAAAUCGAGGGAGUUAUUCGUUCUAUGUGUAGCAGUAGAACUGUAGAAGUUACUGCAAUCAAGUGAAAAGGCCGAAAGGUUUUUGCAUUGUAUUUUUGUACAAUGUCCCAUUUUUUCCUAUUACAAAAUUUUGACAUUUGAUGAUGGGUUUAUUGUUUAAUUAGGCAUCUGGAGAAGCUUUUUGGCGAACGAAUUAUAGUAUUUGUGGCAAAUGGGGCCUAUAUUCUACAUAAUGAUAGCUUUGCCUUGUACAAUUGGGGCAAUUGCGUUGGCACUUCUCCAUAUUUACAGGCAUCUCAUGAAUUAUACUGAACCCACGUAUCAAAGAUACAUUGUCCGAAUUAUCUUUAUGGUUCCUGUAAGUAUUCAGCUGCCCCCAAUAUUGAUUCUCAUUACAUCACAUCUAUUUCACUCUUCUUCAUGCAUUUGAUUUUAAGGUUCGCCUUUGUGUUAAGUUUGGCAAUUUCCUAAGUCAAAAUCAAGUCUUUGUUGAAAUGUAUUAGGGAUUUAUCGAGUUAUAAUCAAAGUCAAAAUAGUUGAGGAUUGGCAGUAUAAGUCUUGAAAGAGUUCAAGAUAUCAAAGAUAUUCAAGAAGAUCAAAUAUGAUCAAGGGAAUGCAAUUAUAAGUCUAAAUGGUUUCAAGGAGCCACACGAGUUAUGCUCCAAAUUUUUAGUCGUAACUUGCAAUGCAUUUUUCACAUAGAAAAUAUUUGAAUUUGGAGAAUGUUAUUUCUAAAAGAAUUGUAGCCCUUUGAGUCAGCUUUUCAAUGCAUUUUGAAUCCCUUCAAUCCAAUAUUGAGAGAGAAAGUUGAGAAGACACUACUGACAACUGCUCAGUUGUCACUCACCUAGCAUUAGCCUAGCGCUCGAGGUCGACGUCCAGAAUUCUGUUUUGCUUCAAACAAUGAUUUUUCAAUUCCUUUUCAUCUCAAAUACUUUUCGCUUAUACAGAUAUCCUACCUAAUGAACGUCCAAAAGUAUGUUGAAUCAUAUUACUUCAUAGAGAUAGUUCCUUGAAGAUCCAAAUCAUCAUUCUUUGAUCUCUAGAUUCAACAAUCAUAUCAUUGUUUUCAUAAUAUCUUUCUGAGUCAAGAUAUUUCUUUAAACCAUAAAUUAUUUCAUUAAUUAAGAUAUAUAUUGAGCCAAAUAUUUUCACAUUCUUAGAUAUUAAACCAUAGAUCAAAAUACAUAAAAUCAUUGAUCAAACACCAAACCUAUCUUCGCCAAUUAGCUUUUAGAAUUACUAGAGUUUUAGGAAGAGGCACUAGGAGUUCCAGUGCUACGGAAUGAAGUUCCAUUGGAAGAACGAGGAAUUCUUCAUUUAAUCCCUACAAAAGAUAAAUCAAUACCAAGGAUCGGGAACUGUUGCAGAAGCACAAAUUCAGGAGGACUAAGGUGAGAUACUUGGAACCAGGAUCUGACGUCAGAAGCACGCAGUCCAGGAGGGCUGAGGAAUAAAAUAGAAGUCGGAAUUUGUUUUGAAGAAGCACACCACCAUUAAGAUCAAGGGAGACUUCAGGAAUUAAGGUCAAAAGUUCUACGGAAUAGACGACCCUGUUCCGCAAUGUAAGUGUGCUUCGAUUUAUAGUGGAUUAUUGACCGGCAAAGUGUCCGAAUUUUUUACCAAGUUGGAGUUUCUUCGUCAUCAUCUUUGGUUUUCUUUAUUGUUUUAAUUAUUGAUCAUGGCAUUCAAACGAUGGGAUGAUUGAACUUGAUUGACCAAUGUCCCAGAAACAAUUAAAAGUGACUUGUUGCUUUUAAUUAUGUAAUUCCGCUCAUUGGAUUUAAAUAAAUCAGUUAAUUUGAACUUUCACUUUGCAAUCACUGAACUAUUAUUUGAAGUCUUUGAUAAUUUUUAUUAUUUGGGGGAGAAAAAGGAAGGGGUGGAUUCAAAUUGAUGAAUAAAGAAUUCUACAAGAAUGUUCUAUUAUAAAGGAUCAAUUGAUUUUUUGUAACAAGAAAAUUACAAGAGAAUAUAUGGCGGCUAGGGUAGGAAAAGGAAAGCAAAACACCUCUUACUAUGUUACUCGUAUCUACACAUCCAUCUACUGCCCAAAUUAUUUAAGAAUGUAACAUUUUAAUUGCUUGCUACAUUGUGAAAUAUUACAUUCCUCCUUUGAGCAUUCCUAGUGAGAAUGGAAGUUUCGAGAUAAGGGGUGAGAGGAAUCUGGCAAUGCAGGCACAAGAUACGUGGAUUUGUGAAUGGAUUAGUAGUUGUUAGGUUUGAUUCUCAUUUGUAAUGACAUUUAUAAAUCUGUGAUUUUUGGUGAUAUCCAUCUCAAGUGAGGUUUUCUUUUAUUUUUCUUAUUAUUAGCUAGUCUUCUGAAGUUGAAAGCUUUUUAAAAGAGCACUAUAGGACUUGAAAGGAUUCUGUCAUUUUGACUAUUCUCAUAAUGGUUUCAACAUUGUCUAUAGACACCAUGUUAUGGUGUUAGGAAACACGAAGUUAUCAAGAUGAUAUAACAAUGGGAAGAUAUUGGCUGAGAUAAUUUGUACAUUGGCAAAACUUUGCCACAAAAAGUUACAAAUACCAGGAUGAUAUUUUGUUCAAAGCAUGAGCAGACCUUGUAUGCACAAUAUAAUAGAUUAAUAGCUUUUUACAAAAGGGAAAGGCUGCAGAUGUCUAAUCCCUCUGCGUCGCUGUCAAACCUGAUAAUAUUUAAGUGUUAAAAGUAAGGUUUUGAGAGAUUAUAAGGACCUCUAUGUCAGUGUUUUUUAUUUGACAUGAUUUUCACCAGUAAUAAAGUUUCAGCGAAAGAAGGGAACCUUUUUUUUUUUACUUUACUAGUUGAGAUCCUCAUAUAUGUAGAUUUUGAUUUGUGAGCUUCUUUUGUGAUGGGUAUAUUGGAUGUUUUCAACAUCAAUGAAAUAUUGCAUAGAAGUUUUUAGAGUGAAAUUCCAUUUGGUACAUCCAGCAUAGUGGUGUAUCGAAAAGGAAGAAUCAUUAACUAUUAGAUAUAGUGCAAUUAAUAACAAACAAUGUAAAUCUUCAAAAAUAGUUUUGGGGUCAUACACUGAUUGUAGUGUGUAACACACUAAAACAUGUCACAUCUAAGUUGGUUAACAGAACUCCAUACGAGUUAUGGAAAGACAAAAGUCUCAAUUUAUCUCAUAUGAAAGUUUUGGGCCAUAACGAUUAUUUGAAGCACCUUUAAUCGGAUAAGUUUGAGACUAAAUCCAAUAAAUACAUUUUUGUGGGAUAUUCAAAGCAGAUAUUUGAAUAUAAAUUCUAUUAUUGUAAAGAAAGUCUUUAUCUCACGACAUAUCGUCUUCUUAGAGAAAAUAUUUACUCUACGGGAGAACAAUGGGAGCAAAAUAGAACAUAAAAGAGUUCAAGAGUCCACAAAUAUAGUUAGCCAAGUAAAUGAAUUCGAGUUUGAUCUCAUAUCUGAUAUGGGAUAUACUCUUGAUCAGGAAGUAAAAUCUUCUGAGGACAUGUCAGCUAUAUAUGAAUCCAGUAGGAUCAUUCGACCUUCAAGAAGAUGCGAAUCCAUGAUUAUUAAUCAGGUAUUACUGAUCCAGGUUAAUGAACCUACUAGUUGCGCCAAAAUAAAGUCUAAGUGUUAACUUAAAAGAGACAGUAAGAGGCCAUGAAACUCGAGAUGAACUCGACUUAUGUGAACAAGGUUUGGACCUUGGUCAAGCCUCCUGAUGGAAUAAAACCAAUAAAUUUGUAAAUAGUUUACAAAGGAAAAUGUCGAUAUGGAUGGGAAUAUCCAUAUAUACAAAGCAAGAUUAGAAGCAAAGGAGAAGUGUUGACCUUGGUGAAAUCUUUCUUCUAUAGCCUUGCUGAAUUCCAUUCAGGUUUUGCUUGCAACCGUUGCAUACCGUGACUAUAGGUUAAGAGAAGUCUCUAGGAGCUAAAAUCUUCGGUUUGAUGAAAAAGUCAAAGUGUUUGAUUUUAUCAAAUUUGAAGACGAAUUGUGUUGCUAAUAAGAAGAUAGUGGGAAUAUUGUCAUAUUCCUAAUAUUAUAAAAAACGACAUCCCUAUGUUUCAAUCUUUAAAAUAAUGGUUGUUAAAGGAUUUAUUCAUGAAAGAUAUAGGAGAAGCAACUUGAUCUAUAGAGAUAGAUUUAGAAAAUUGUCUAACUCAUCCCAAUUUACAUAGAUGAAAUUUUGAGAAGAUUUCAUAUGGAGAAACUGGUUUACUCUUAAGUGGAAUGUUGGAAUGGUUCCAAACAUGAAGCAACCAUUGAUUCAAUAGUAGAAACCUAAUACAUUAUUAUUUCAGAAGUAGCAAAGAGUUGCAAUAUGGAUCGUGGUGUUUAUAAAUGAACGUAGAGUAGUUCCUGAUAUUGUUGAUCACAUGCCAUUUUAUUGUGAUAGCAAUAGAGACAUCGCGAAAGUGAAGGAACUAAGGUCUCAUCAAUGAUCUAAACAUGUAUUAAGUUUGUAUAAUCUCAUCAGAGAAAUAAUACAUAGAAAUGACGUAAAGAGAAGAACAAAUUCCCACAUUUAACAAUAUUGCAAAUCCACUAACAAAGAGUUGUCGUAGUUUAAACAUGAUCGUCAUGCAGACUCUUAUGAUAUUGGAUACAUAAAUGAUUGGAUCUAGUGCAAGUGGAAGUUUGUAAGUGUUAUGUCUUAGGUCCAAUCAACCUUAGACAUAAAUCUUUUUAUAUAUAAUUAAUGCAAUUUAAUGGCACAUCUAUAAUUUAAUUAAUGGGAAAAUUGCAUCCGAGGUACCAAACCUUUCGUUUAUUAGCAGACUUUGCCCAAACAUUUAGUUUGUGCCACCCACAAUCCCAAACCUUUCAAAAAUAUGCACUGGAGAUUCAAAUGGAUGGAAACUGUCCGUUUGACCGUUAGUUGACCAAGAAAAAUAAAUAUUGACCUAUUUUGACUAAAUUGGAAAGGAUAAAAUGGCAACUUUAUAUUACCAUAUUAAAUAAAUUGAAAAAAAAAUCAAAAAAUCAAGAAAUAAUCAAAAAAUAAAAAAUCUAAGAAAAAAAAGAGAAUUGAAAAAAAAUAUUAAAAACCAAACGAAAAUCGGUCAUCUUCCUCACCCCACCCCACUCCACCCCCACCCCGAAAUCAAACCAACAGGCAGCAGAAAUCAGUCUGCCACCGGCAUGCCAUCCCUACACCAAAGCAGCUCGUCUUCUCCAGCGUUACAUCCAUUGGAAAUUGCCACAACCGCCACCACAGCACUCUCACUCACAACUGUCACCUUCCAUCCACAGUAGCAAAAAUCAAACCAACAAAACUCAUCCCUACAGCACAUUGGAAAAUCAAAUCCAAAAAUCAAAUCCCAUCGAACCCAAACGAAAACCAGAAAUCGAAUUGCCCAGUCACCAACAAGCCGUCACACCUGCAAAUCACCCACCAGCAUUGUCGCCAUAACAUCUACUCCAAAUAACAUAUACCCUAAUCUAGAAAUGACCACCUAUACGAACAUUUCUUCCCUAAACACUAUCUCCAUCAUCAGUCAAGAACUGAGUUCGAACUCUUUUUUUUAGAUAAGGUAACUGAGUUCGAGCUCAGUUCACAAAAGCUUGCAGAAGCUUGACUUCUAUUGCAUAAAAAGCUUGACUUCCGUGUUUGACGAUUUGAGAUUUAAGUUUGGGAUUGGAUGAAGUUUUGAUAGCUAUUUCAAAUUUUACUUCUCAACUGGGGUUGGGUGUUUCCAGAUUUGAUAGCUAGUUUUUUCGACGACGGUGUGGAUGGGCUGGGUGAAUCGGUGAUGGUGGCCAUUGGGUAUUCUGGUUUUGGGUUUUGAGUAAGGGGUGGGGUGGGGUGGGGUGGGGUGGGAUGGGGCGGGGUGAAGAUGAAGAUGAAUAGUAUUCCCUUUCUUUUCUUUAAUUUUUAUUUAUUUUGUUUUUACUUUUCUAUUGUUAUUAUUAAUUAUUUUAAUUAUUAAUAUUAAGAAAAAAAUGCAAAGUACCACUUUGCCCUUUUCAAUUUGGUCCAAAUUGGUCAAAAUUUGACUUCUCUAGUCAACUAACGGUCAAACGGACGGUUUCUAUUCAUUUGAACCUCCGGUGCAUAUUUUUGAAAUGUUUGGGACUGUGAGUGGUACAAAUUAAAGGUUUGGACAAAGUCUACUAAUAAAUGAAAGGUUUGGUACCUCGGUUGCAAUUUUUCCUUAAUCAAUAGACAAUUAAAUUAAAUAAUAGAGUUAGUAGUUUCAAAUAUUCGUAAUUUAUUAAUCACAAGGAGAUGUGAUUGUGAGAUACAAAUUACAUAUGAUUGAAUCUUAGAUCGUCUGUGGUCGUAUGUAAUAACGAGAUACAGAUAUCUUAUUAUGGACAGACUAUCACGUGUGGCAUUUUUUACUUGUGAAGUAAGUAGCUGAUCUCACAAGUUAAAGUGUGGUGACACUUAAAUGAAUACGUGGAUGUUUGGUUAUAAAACAAAAUAUUGGAGACCCGUCGAGAGAUUCCACAUGGAUAACUAUCUGAGUGUCAGUGGUUAAUCUCUAAUGUUCGAUAGUGGAAUUGAUCCUUCGACUUGAGGAUGCCAUGGUAACUUAUAUGAGGACAAUGGUACUUUGGCGAUGUUGAAUAUUGCUAUGCAAAAGGGCCGCUAAUACGACAUCAUUCGGGUACAUCAAGAAUCGUAUGAAGGUUGUGAUUGGCCAAUAAAGGAUUCGUCACUCUUAUAUAGUAGGAGAUUAUGAUCUGUGUUUCAUUCAAUUAAGUCGAUGAUGAAAUUAUUGGCCAAGGUGUACUCAUAAGUCAAAAAGAAGUUUUCGACUUAUUUUGACUUAAUAGUAGAGUGAAAGAUUUGAUCGAUAAUCGAGAUUGACACACUUCCAUAUCUCGUAAUUGAUCACGGUAAUGAACGGGUUUGACUUUGUCAUACCACGUGACAUUUCCCGUCAUAUAUAUUGUCCUGACACGAUGUUAGAUGUCAAUCUGGGACGGCGAGUGUAAAUUGGUAAUAAAUUAAAAGGAUGUUUUAAUUUAUCAAUUUUGAUUAGAUCAAAAUAAUAUUUCACGUCGUUAGACAUAGUGAAUGGGAACCUGAUGGGUCGCACACAAAAGGAGAAUUGGAAGAUUGUAAUUUAUCAAUUAAUUAAUUUAACAAGCGUUGGAUAAAUUAAUUAAUUGAGCUGCAUAUUUAUAGGCCCAAAUUAAUUAAUUGGAUUAAUUAGUUCACGGACCAAAUUUAAUUAAAUGGGUUAGUUAAAUGUUGAAACGGGUCAGACCAAACCCGUUUGGGCUUAUAUAAAUAUGAUUAGGAUUCUCAAAAUUGUGAUGAUUUUCAUUAUUUUUGAUAGCACAAAAAGAAAACUCUAAUGCUGCAAUCUUGUUCUCUGUGAGGAUCACCGUUAGAGGCUGGACAAUUGAAGAGCUGUGAGAGACAGAUUCAAGUUGCUGGAACAAAGAUAUGGGAAAGGAGUUUGCAGAUCUUGUAAAUGUACAUCUUUAUCAUAACUUCUAUCUAAAUACAAAGACGAUUCUUGGUGGAAAUCAAAAUCUAUUUUAAUUUUCCGCUGCACACGUUAAGUACAUUUCCAACAAAGAGCAUGCCAAAGAAGGUGAUGAAGAAGAUUCAUCUCAAGGUGAAGAUGGGACAAUUUUUGACUUCUCAAAUUAGCCUUAAGGAAUCCUAUCUGGUGUUCUUGAAAGGAAUAGCAUCCAAAGGUGGGUUGAGUGGGCUUCCUCGAUACUAAUAUCAAGUAACAGCUAAUAUCAUUCAAGUGGAUUACUAGAUCCUAUUACCAGUUGUGUGCAGGCAAAUGUGUUCGGUAGUUUCUAAAACUUGACGUUUUGUCAACGCUGAUCGAGCAAAGUUUUUACCUGCCAUUAACAUACUUGCAGUUUACAAUUCUAUUGGCUUCUCUUUGGCUCUUCCCAAAUUCCUACAGAAGGUGACUAUCGUAGGUUGUAAGAGGGUCGGCCAGCAUAUUGGUUGGGUGCCAGAGUAUCUCUUCAAGGCCUUUUGGUUUAAAAAUUAACUUUUUGGCAUAAGAAUCGAAGUUUUAUUUAUGAAUUGUGGUUGGUGGAUGGUUUAGCUAACAAUUAGUAAUGUGGUGGUGGUUGUUGUUGUUGUUGUUGUUGUUGUUGUUAUUAUUUUCUAUCAAUACAAUAUUUCAUGCAAUGAUGGCACGGCUAGGAUCCCAAGCAAUGCAAACAUUUCGUGUCCUCAUGAUUUGUUCACGAUUUCUCUUGCAAGUGUGCAUCAACUUGAACGUUGAAGAUAACUGGAGAAGAUUAGAUAUGUUCAUGAAUCAUACAAGAGAUGGAAGUCUACCUUCUAAUUGUAAAACUGUUAGGAGUCCUUUCCUUUAUAAAACUUUAUUGCUUUAGGAGUCCUAUUCAUCUUUUUUUUUUUUUUUUUCCUUUUCACAUCAGAUGCUUUUUCAUUUUCUAAUUGAAUAAUGCCAUAAUAAUUACUUACAACGUUGAUCCCUCAACUUUGUACCAAUAUUUGCUUUUAAGUCAACUUCAAAAAUCUUAACCUUGCUCAAAUUCUUCAAAAUGUUAAAAGCUUAUCCUAAUAUGUCCCUUCUUAUGAAUGUAAUUCAUCUUUACCACACAUUGUCUGAGACUUUGUCAAGAGACUUGAUCAUUUAGAAUACCACUUGGCUUUUUAAUGUUGGAUGUUUCUAACAAAUUAGUUGAAACCUCAUUCACUGCCACAGUCAAAUCUUCAAUUAAUAGUGUGAUCAACAAUGUUUUAUAUAACUUAAACAAGCAUAUUUUGACACAAUAAUUAGUGGCCAGUAGAGAUAAUUUAGGAAUGAUCGCUUAACUUUACGAUAGCUUACUACUUGCUCAUCGAUCUUCAAAAAAUUACUCGUAGCUCAUUGAAUAUUGCCAUAGGUUACUACUUGCUCACCGAAAUUCAAAAGGUUACUCAUUGGUCACUUAAAUUUGAAUAAAAUUACUCACUGCUUAUUGAACUUUACUAUAGAUAACAAUGAUGAAAAUGAUUUGCGUGAUUGAUGGGUAACUUUGUUCAAAUUUGGUUGAGCAACGAGUAAUAUUUUAAAUUUUGGUGAGCAAGUAGUAACAUAUAAUAAAGUUCAGUGAGCAACGAAUAACUUUUUAAAAAUUGGUGAGCAAGUAGUAACCUAUAAUAAGUUCAUUGACCAUUAAUUAAAUUAACUCUGGCCAGUAAAAAUAAACUACCGCACGAUUAACGUAUAUGUUGAAUACGUAUAGAGAUUUAGCAUCAUCAAGAAAAGAAAACUUUCUUUUGACACAAUCACGAUGAGAAUUAUAAAAAGAUAAGGUCCACUUUAAUUAUGUUUAGGAGUUGUUUAUAUUAAAUUAAUUUAUGGAUAGAUAUAAAUGAGUUGUGGAUAAAUGAGUAGUACUUAUGAAUUCCACGAAAUAUGUGGAUAAAAAGUGAUUUGAUCGAUUUUAAACAUAUUAUAAACAAGAGGUGAACAAGGGCUUUAACAAAGAGGAGCACACGCACUAAACAAAAAAAAUCAUACUUGUGUUAGUAGCAUUGGAAUUCAUUUCUUUUGGUACAUUGUGGAAACACCCCAGCCCAGAGAUAUUUAAUUAAUUAAUUUGUACCAUAAUUUAAAAUAAAAAUAAAAAUUAGAGAAUCGUGCUGAUGGAGUAUUAUAAAAUAAAGGUACAUCAUCACCUUAGAGAGAAAUAUUUCUUUUAACAUAAUCAUGAUGUGAAUAAAAAGACAAGGUUCACUUAAGCAUGUUUGGGAGUUGUUUAUAACUUGCUCGAAUUAUAAAUGGAUAUAAAUGAUUAGUGUAUAAGUGUACAAUACUUGUAAAAUCUAUGAAUAUGUAUGUAGAUAAAAAGUAGUAAGAUGGAUAUAAAUCAGAUGCAAGCAAGGGAGAGAGAGAGAGAGAGAAAGGACAAUAAAAUAAUUAAGAACACUAUAAAAAAAAUUGCGGCUUAGAGAUGAAAAUUUUCAUUGUCAAUGCCUUAAAUUUUGAAGCUAACGAACUCUACCAACAGACUCGAUCCGUCAAAAAAUCUGAUAGUGAAACUCUUGUUACUAAUUUAACAACGAAUUUCUUACGGUAUAUUAAUGACUAAAAAAACCUUCAACAUUUACUAAUAACUAUUUUUGUAGCUAAUAAACAAUGAUUUUAGCAACAAAUUUUUCGCUAGAGUAAUAUUGAAUUUUCUUAAUAUAAGAGAAGUAGAAGUUUAAAAUUAUGCUACUUGUUGACCCCAAAUAAGACGAGACAUAGUUAAUCAACAUAUCAUAGCUCCUCUCAUAUAUUACUAGCAUAUUAGACAACCAAGUUAGAUUUCACAGUUCAUAACUCCGACGGGAUGUGAUUGGUAACAUAUACUUUGAUGGUCAAGUCAGAUGAUGAAGCAUAUCCGUUGUACGAGAAAUACAAUAAACGAAAAAUAUAGGUGUUGAGUUUUAUUCUAUCAAGAAUAAAGCGUGUGAAGUGAUUGUAGACAAUGGAAGCUAUGAGAACUUUGUGUCAAAGACGUUGGUAGAUUUGUUGAAAUUACCAAGUAAGAACCAUCCUAAACUUUUUUCAUUUGGUUGGGUGAAGAGAGGUCCUUCUGUUCAGGUUGCUAAGACUUGUAAACACAUAUUUCCAUUGGUAAGCAGUAUAAUGAUGAGAUUAUGUGUGAUGUCAUAGACAUAGAUGCUUGCAAUAGUCUAUUGGCUCAUUCAUGGCAGUUUGAUUUGGAUUCAACUCUCAAAGGGCGUAAUAAUGUGGUACUUUUUGCAUAAAGCAAUCAUAAGAUCGCUAUGAUUCCUCUCAAAUAGGUGGAAAAGUCUACUCAACAACAAACUGUGGCUGUCUACUCAACAACGAACUAUCGCUUUCUCACCCUUACUAGUAACGAGAAGGAGAUUGCAAAGUAUGUAAGAGAAUUUGAUUACAUUUAUCCAGUUGUAGUUAAGGGGCUUUUCAUAGCAAAUAAGGAAGAUGGGGGUGUUCCGUCUAAGGUGCAAGAAAUAUUAACAGAAUUUAAAGAUUUGGUUUUCGAAGAAUUUCUCAGUGAGUUGUCUCCUAUGAGGAAUAUUCAACACCACAUUGAUUUGGUAUUUGAGGCUAGCAGUCUAAAUUUGUCUCGUUACCAAAUAAGUCUGAAGGAGAAUGAGGAUUCGUCUAUUCAGAUGACUCAAAUUUGUAAGGUACCUUUGUCGAUUGAGAUUUGCCACAAAUCAAAAGUUAUUUGUGAUCUUGUUUAGUCGGAUGUGUGUCAUAUUCUACCGGAUAGAUCAUGACAAAUUAAUGUGGAUGACAUAUGUAAGGAUACCUACAAGUUUAAGUGAAAGAAUAAAAAGAUUAUAACAAGGAUAACACAUAAAGCUUCUAAAGUGGAAGGAAAAGAUUUUCCGACCAUUACAAAUUCAAACAAUGAGUUUUCCUUCGAUAAGCCUUUAUAUCCCCAUGAUAGCUCGGGUUUGAGUUGCUUUGAAGUGGAAGGGAAUAAUGUGGAACAAUACCAAGAGAAAAUCUAAAAUCAAUUAGGAAAAGUAAUAAAUAAGAUAAACAUUAUUUUUUCACUAGUAAACUUGUAUUUGACUCUAUUUUUUCUUCUUGUAUUUUAUUUUUUUAGGUAUAGUUGUGAUAGGACUUUUAUCUUUUAUUUAAUUAGGAUUAUAAUUUCUUUAUUGAUUAAAAUAUGAAUUUUAAUUAUAUUAGAUUUUACUAGUUUCCUAAUUUUAGACUUCUUAUAUUAGUAAGAUCAACGGAUAAUUUUUCCUAUAUGUAAGGGCUUUGUACACUUUUUUAGAGUUCAAUUCAUUAUUCGAUUCUUGAUUAUUAAGAUAUUUCAAAUUUUCAAUUUAUUGGCGAAAUUCGAGAACCCGUUCAUGUGUUAUGAACUAAACACAUUUAUUUUUAUUCACAAUUCCGUCCCGCAUCAAAGAAUAUAGUAAACUAUUUUAAAGAUAUUGAAGGAAAUUGAUCAGUUUCCAUCUGAAACUGGUCAAGAUUUGAAAUUGUAAACAUAGUUACUGAAUACUUAACUAGACUAUUUAACGAAGAUUUUUUUUUUUUAUAGUAAUUUGGAUUAUUUAUGAGUCGAUUAUUAUUGAUUUUAGUAUAUUUUUGUGCUUAUGAUGAAAUUACUAAGCAGACUACGGAGAAGUAUGAAAAUAUACAAUCAAUAAAGCAACACAAUUAUGUAAUUCCUCAUCACUAUAUGUUACGUAGUUUAUACAUGUAUACUGAAAAAAAAAUACAAUUUUGUGUAAACCAAAACUUUAAUACAAUAAUUGAUACUUUGGUCAAUUGUCCAUUACCAAAUAGUAAUAAUUAAUUAUCCUAAAUUUUUACCAAUUAACCGAUCAAAAUUAAAGCCCUCGCAUCAAAGUCGAAACCCUCUUCGUCUUUAAUCCUUAUGUCGCAAGAGAAUCAAAAGCUCCACAAUACCGAUGAUUUUAAAUUUAUAGUUUGAUAUACAUACAUGUUUUGUCUAUAUAUAUAUAUAUAUAUAUAUAUAUAUAUAGCUGGACAAUGAAGAAUUUAAUGAAGAAUUUUGAGAGAAAUUGUCUAAUUAUGCUAAUAUUUUCUUAACAAGCCAUAUUGACGAUGGAAAGGAUUGCUGCGAGGAAUCAUCUAAAAAUAUUCUUCUUGACAAUUAUGAUAGAGAUAAACCAAGCAGGUUUAAUUUAAUAAAUCAUAAAAAUAUUUGUGAAUUAUGAUAGAGAUUUGAAAUCAGAUUUACGUACUGAGAAUUUGAAAUCAUCCUCAGUUAUAUAAAAUUUCUCAAUCCGCUUACGAAGAAUCAGUAUAUAACAUUUAAUUUAGUUUAUUUUCAAAUUCAAAUUGUCAUGAAUAUUUUGUUAGUCUGCAAACCCUAAAUCACCUUUGGAUCAAUUUUCUAACUCCAAAAAGAUUAAAAACGUUCACAAAUCCUAACAAAAAGAGAAACAUUAAGCCAGACGUUGAAAUUGAUCAUCCCAAGUCGGGAAAAUAAAAAUAAAUAAAAAAUAAAAAAAUAUCUUAUAACGAACAAGAAUGUGGAUAAUAAACAUCAUUGGACGUAGAGCAACUCUUGUAGUUAUCCAGGCAAUGAAAAAACUUUCUUAUCCUCGCGAAAAACCGCCCGUUUCUGAGUUUGAAAUCCUGCAUCUUCUUCAAAUUUCUUGCUGAUCUAAGCCUCCUGCAUAUAACCCUUUUCACUUUAAUGGAAGAUUUUUUAAACCGCUCUGUGACAGUUUGCUUCCUGCUGAACUUGUAGCUUCUCAAGAAUAUUUGCCUCUUCUCCAUCUUAAUUCUGAACGUGUCCAUUGAAUCUGCAUUCGUAUCGUUAAGUCCCAUACUUAAACACGAAAAUUUGUGCUGCGCUCGUAUAGAGUUUUGAAGUGAGGAAGAAUAUAUGGCAAAUAGAUUGAGGGAGAGGGUUUAUCUAUACAUAGAGUAAGAAGGAAUUGGACUUCUCUAAUUUCUUGUAUAGUAAGGAUAGGACUUCUCUAUUUUGCAUAUUUCGAUUGUGGGUCGCUUGACAUGGUGAAGUACUAGAUUUGUAGGCCGAUUGUUUAAUCGACUGGUCACGAAUUGAAGUAAUAUAUCAAUAUCGAUUAACGGUCAAUUGAAAAAAAUAUUGGAUAUAAUCAAACAUCAAAAGUUAUAGUGUCCCGUAUGAAAAAAAAAUUAUGUAGCAUUGUAAUUUAAUAAUGAAAAUAUCUUAAAUAAUCUCAUUAUUAUUUUAAAUCAAAGUCAAAUAUAUAUUUUUCAAAUUCUUUGAAUUCUGUGUAACGCAUUUUUAAGACAACCAAUUAUUAACAUAAUAAUUAUUGAUUAUUGAAAAUUUGAAAUUGCAAUAACUUCCUUGUGAGAAUAAUUACUUUCCUAAUAUUGUUACAAAUUUGUAUUCACCGUUUUAACUUAAUUUUCUCCUCACCAAAUAUUUUAUUCUUAUGUUUAUAUUGGAUUAUUUUGAAGCUGCAAUAUAUAUGAAUGUCCUUAAUCAUAUAUAUGUUUAUUUUACUAAGAUGUGAAAUGCUUAAUAUCAGUUAAUUGUUUGUAAAGCAAUUUGUAUCAAUAUAUAAAAAGAAAAGCUAUGAGACUCCAUGAUACUCCAUUUGCAAUUUUAUAAUAUUUUUAAUUUUUUUACUGCUUAAAGAGAAGGAAAAAUUUAUAAUUUAACGGUCAAAAUAGAGGGAAUGACGAGUUUUAUUAUAUAAUUGAAAGGUUUCCGAUUUAUAAUUCCAAAAAAGGUUGAUAGUAGCACUACAACAAAAUGGUCUUUUUAAUGCACGCCGUAAAAAAUCAUUUAUGGCGUGCAACCGCAUGCCAUAUAAAGCAAUGCCGUAAAUAGGAAGAUUUUUUUACGGCGUACGCCGUAAAAGAAUGCCGUUAAUAACAUUUUAUGGCGUUCACAGGCACGCCGUAAAAGCUCACUAUUUACGGUAUGCAUUGCACGCCGUGAAAAGUUUAAACUUACUUUUUAUGGCGCACACAUGCCCACCGUAAAUAGAGAGUUUACAUUUUUACGAUUUAGCUUUUUAAAAAUAUUUGUCUAUUUGGUUACCAACAAACCCAUAAUAAUUACAAAACAGAAAGAUACACAUUAAUCAUAUAUAAACAGAUUUUAUAUAUGUCCGAUAAACAAAUAAAUUGUUUUUAUAUUUUAAUUACAACUUCACUGAUUUAUUCAAAAAAAAAUAUAAAUUCAACGUCAUAAAUGAGCCAAAGACGAGGUACAUAAUUGUAAUAAUCGGGUAACAAAUGUUACGCUUAUGAAGGAAAUAAAAAUCGAAAAGGUUCAACACAUACUUAAAGAGAGUAAGGCAAUGAAAAUGAGAGAUUACUGAAAUUAGGAACACAAUAGUGUUUAGCUGUGUGAUGUCAAAAAAUAGUAAUUACAAGAAAUGGAUUCUACAUUUGUCCGAAGUCUUUCUCCUCUUGAUGUGUCUACCGCAAACUUUGUCUUACAUACAGCAUGGAGAUAUAAUCCUGCAAAAUAGAGUGAAACUACAAUAGGCUAAGAAUACAGAGAGAAGAGAAACAAACAAAAUUUCAAUCAUAACACAAGGCAUUGCAACUCAAUGAAAGAUGAAACUCUCCCGAUGAAUUUCCUGCUAAAAUAAGCUAAAAUCGUAAAAAUUUUACAGAAAAGGGCCAUAUUUGUUUUUAGACAGAAGAACAUUACAAUUUUCUCCAGGCACAUUUAUCCUACCAGAGCUUUGCAUAAAGUUCACUAAAAAGAUCAUCUUGAAGGUUACAUCAAUUUUAUUACCUCGCAACACUAAUAAAAAUUCAUAAUUAAUAUUUUAAUGACCAAUCAGCAUGGUUCUAUUUUUUUACUCGAGAUAUUAAUCUAAUCUUAUAACACUCUUUCAUUGAAAAGUACAUGUCAAAUAGUUCAGAGAUGCAAAAGAGAGAUCUACAAAAAAAAUUUCAAUGACUAUUAACUCUGCAAUAGAAAUUCUAUGAGCCGAAAGCAUGAAUUGAUGAAGUUACCUACUGAUUCAAAUAAGAGGUGUCAGUUUUGUUGAAAACACCUUUGACAGCCCAAAUAAUCGAACAAACAUCCACUGAAACUCAUAGUACUUAAUUUGGAGCACAAAUUAUUGUCCACUGUUUCUUUAUGUUUUUUAUUCACUCUCAAUUUACAAUUAACCUCCGACAACUACACCGAUCAGUAUGUAAAAUACAUAAAAGUGAACUCCAAUGAAACAUUAAUCAGACUAUUAGCCUAUCAUAAGACCUAAGAUUGCAGUUCAGAAGGGAUGAAAAACAGGUCGAGAUAUAAUUGUAGGCCUUAGUAAAAUCCCANGAUUUCAUAUUUAUAAAUUUAAUCUCAAUAUUUUAUGAGACCAAUCAUAUAAAUUGGUGAAUUCUUUAAUAAAGAUAAAUAACAUUAUUCAUAAGAUUGAGGGCUGGGGUAAUAUGUUUUAGUUUUAUUGAUAAUAGACUUGCCCCCCAUUUGGUAACAAUUUUUUACCCCAAAAAAAUCAAAUUUUUUUUUAUGAUUAUUUCACUAUUUUAUCCAUCACUUUUUACUUCUUUACUCACAGAUGGAACACAUUUUUCUCUCUAACGGUCAAAAAAUCAAUUUUCAUAAUCACUAUCGAACAGGCAUUGAUCUAAUGCCAAUGGUGGGCAUGAAUUAUAAUGGCGUGGCAACAAAAUAGCGGAUGUUGCCACACCCACUAUAGACGUGACAACACAAUAUUGGAUGUAGUCACGUUCAUGGUGGGCAUAUAAUUCAUGCACCAUGUGGUAGCAUCGACCGAUCGUAGGCAUUAGAUUAUUUAUAUUAUUAAUAAUAAUAUUACUAAUAUCGAUUAUCAAAAACAAGUAGAUAAUCACUAGACGAGAUCCAUCGUUCAAAAUUGGUUGUCCAACUUGCUAUUCAUUCAAUAAUUAUUGACACUCAAUUUAAAUUAACAUAUUUAACUUUUCUCUCGUUACCACUUAUACUUAAAAAUAUAAAUCAUGCUACUUAUACAUUGAGUUUGACAUUAUUCUUUACAUUACGCCACAUGACGACAUCACACCGGACAUUUUGAAAUUAAAAAGCACUUUCUUGCCAACACUUAUUUUGAAAACAAUGGAAUAUCAAGAAUGAUGUCAAAAUGUUAAUGUACAAAUAGCAUUGUUGUAAAAAUAUAUGUAAAAUCACAAUAAAUAUUAGCAAAGAAUUAUUAUAGUUAUACAACCAAAAUUUACAACUUGGUUAACAAUUAGUAGUGUUUGGGGAUUCACAUUACUGAUUAAAAAAAAAAUCUAUUUUAUCGUUAAAUGUGAAAAAAAAAAACAAUUUUUGAAGUGUAUGAUAUGAAUCUCUACCAACUCAUUGAUCUUAAACCAAAUUGCUAACUAAAUUGUAUAACUAGCAUGCUUCUAUAACAAAUUGGAGAGGCGAUUCUGGACAAUCUCAACUCACAGAGCAUUACCUAACGAUGACAGCAAAUGCUUUUAAGUAGCCAUUAUUUGUAGUCUGUCCCACCCCAGCAUUAACACGCUUUCCUAGCCCAAUUUCAUCUCAAAUUCGUCUUCAACACCAGCAACAGAUCUACUCUUGAUCGAUCUUUUCCAUCUCUUGGAAGUGUUUUUUACUAGUGUUGCAGCUGACGGUUCCCCCAAAAUUUCCUCUUUGAUUACAUCGUCAGGUUAGUCGUAUUGUUUUAGUAAUUCAUUUCUCAUUUUAAGAUAUGUAGAAUAGUUGUUAUUUAACACACCCAUUUCUCAUUUUCUUGUUUUUGUGAAGAAUAAUUUAUUUAACCCAGGUUUAUUUUCUGCUUCUUUGUGUCAAUUAAUCCAAUAGCUCAUGAUAAAAGAAUUAUUUCGUGCCCUUUUUUUGCAAUUUGUGAAGUAAUUUUUCUUUUGGGGUCUUGGUUUUUUGCGAGUUUCUGGGCAAUUCGGGGGAGUUAUUCAUUCUAUAUGUAGCAGUAAAACUGUAGAAGUUACUGCAAUCAAGUGAAAAGGCCGAAAGGUCUGCAUUGUAUUUUUGUACAAUGUCCCAUUUUUUCCUAUUACAAAAAUUUGACAUUUGAUGAUGGGUUUAUUGUUUAAUUAGGCAUCUGAAGAGGCUUUUUGGUGAACGAAUUAUAGUAUUUGUGGCAAAUGGGGCCUAUAUUCUACAUACUGAUAGCUUUGCCUUGUACAAUUGGGGCAAUUGCGUUGGCGCUUCUCCACAUUUACAGGCAUCUCAUGAAUUAUACUGAACCCACGUAUCAGAGAUACAUUGUCCGAAUUAUCUUUAUGGUUCCUGUAAGUAUCCAGCUGCCCCUAAUAUUGAUUCUACUUAAAUCACAUCUAUUUCACUCUUCUUCAUGCAUUUGAUUUUAAGGUUAGCCUUUGUGUUAAGUUUGGCAAUUUCCUAAGGCAAAAUCAAAGUCCUAGUUGAAAUGUAUUAGGUGUUUAUCGAGUUAUAAUCAAAGUCAAAAUAGUUGAGGAUUGGUAGUAUAGGUCUUGAAAGAGUUCAAGAUAUCCAAGGAUCGGGAACUGUUGCACAAAGCACAAAUUCAAGAGGACUAAGGUGAGGUACUUGGAGCCAGGAUUUGACGUCGGGAGCACGCAGUCCAGGAGGGCUAAGGUAUAAAACAGAAGUCGGAAUUUGUUUUGAAGAGGCACACCUCCAUUAAGAUCAAGGGAGACUUCCGAAAUUAAGGACAAAAGUUCUACGGAAUAGACGGGCCUGGUCCACAAUGUAAGUUUGCUUCGAUUUAUAGUGGAUUAUUGACCAGCAAAGUGUCCGGAGUAUUUCUCAAGUUGGGGUUUCUUCGUCAUCAUCUUUGGUUUUCUUUAUUGUUUUAAUUAUUGAUCGUGGCAUUCAUUCCAUGGGAUAAUUGAACUUGAUUGACCAAUGACCCAGAAACAAUUAAAAGUGACUUGUUGCUUUUAAUUAUGUAAUUCCGCUCAUUGGAUCUAAAUAAAUCGGUUAAUUAGAACUUUCACUUUGCAAUCACUGAACUAUUAUUUGAAGUCUUCAAUAAUUUUUAUUAUUUGGGGGAGAAAAAGGAAGGGGUGGAUUCAAAUUGAUGAAUAAAGAAUUCUACAAGAAUGUUCUAUUAGAAAGGAUGAAUUGAUUUUCUGUAACAAGAAAAUUACUAGAAGAGAAUGUAUUGUUUUUAUGUAACAAUAAUUAGUAGGCUAAUUCUUACUGUGUUUCUCGUAUCUACGCAUCAAUCUACUGCUCAAAAUAUUUAAGAAUGUAACAUUUUAAUGGUUGCUACAUUGUGAAUUAUUACAUUCCUCCUUUGAGCAUUCCUAGUGAGAAUGGAAGUUUCGAGGUAAGGGGUGAGAGGAAUUUAGCAAUGCAGGCACAAGAUACGUGGAUUUGUGAAUGGAAUAGUAGUUGCUAGGUUUGAUUCUUAUUUGUAAUGACAUUUAUAAAUCAGUGUUUUUUGGUGAUAUCCUCUCAAGUGAGGUUUUCUUUUAUUUUUCUUAUUAUUAGCUAGUCUUCUAAAGUUGAAAGGUUUUUAAAAGAGCACUAUAGGACUUGAAAGGAUUCUGUCAUUUUGACUAUUCUCAUAAUGGUUUCAACAUUAUCUUUAUACUCAAAUAUCGCCAUGACACACCAUGUUAUGGUGUCAGGAAACACGAACUUAUCAAGAUGAGAUAACAAUGGGAAGAUAUUGGCUGAGAUAACUAGUACAUUGGCAAAACUUUGCCACAAAAAGUUACAAAUACCAGGAUGAUAUUUUGCUCAAAGCAUGAGCGGACCUUAUAUGCACAAUAUAAUAGAUUAAUAGCUUUUUGCAAAGGGGAAAGGCUGCAGAUGUCUGAUCCCUCCGCGUCGCUGUCAAACCUCAUUAUAUUUAAAUGUUAAAAGUAAGGUUUAGAGAGAUUAUAAGGACCUUUAUGUCAGUGUUUUUUAUUUGACAUGAUUUUCACCAGUAAUAAAGUUUCAGCGAAAGAAGGGAACCUUUUUUUUACUUUACUAGUUGAGAUCCUCAUACAUGUAGAUUUUGAUUUGUGAGCUUCUUUAGUGAUGGAUAUAUUGGAUGUUUUCAACAACAAUGAAAUAUUGCAUAGAAGUUUUUAGAGUGAAAUUCCAUUUGGUACAUCCAGCAUAGUGGUGUAUCUAAAAGGAGGAAUCGUUAACUAUUAGAUAUAGUGUGAGUAAUAACAAGCCAUGUAAAUCUCCAAAAAUCGUUUUGGGGUCAUGCACUGAUUGCAGUGUGCAACACACUAAAACAUGCCACAUCUAAGUUGGUUGACAGAACUCCAUAUGAGUUAUGGAAAUGCAAUAGUCCCAAUUUAUCUCAUAUGAAAGUUUUGGGCCAUAACGGUUAUUUGAAGCGCCUUUAAUCGGAUAAGUUUGAGACUAAAUCCGAUAAAUACAUAUUUGUGGGAUAUUCAAACCAGAUAUUUGAAUAUAAAUUCUAUUAUUGUGAAGAAAGUCUUCAUUUCACGACAUAUCAUCUUUUUAGAGAAAAUGUUUACUCUAUGGGAGGACAGUGGGAGCAAAAUAGAACAUGAAAGGAUUCAAGAGUCCACAAAUAUAGUUAGCCAAGUAGAUGAAUCCGAGUUUGAUCUCAUAUCUAAAAUGGGACAUACUCUUGAUCAGGAAGUAAAGACUCUUGAGGACAUGUCAGCUCUAUGUGAAUCCAGUAGGAUCAUUCGACCUUCAAGAAGGUGCGAAUCCAUGAUUAUUAAUCAGGUAUUACUGAUCCAGGUUAAUGAAACUGCUAGUUGCACCAAAAUAAAGUCAAGUGUUGACUUAAAAGAGACGGCAAGAGGCCAUAAAACUCGAUAUGAACUCGACGUAUGUGAACAAGGUUUGGACCUUGGUCAAGCCUCCUGAUAGAAUAAAACCCAUAAAUUUGUAAAUAGUUUACAAGAAAAAUAUCGAUACGGAUGAAAAUAUCCAUAUAUACGAAGCAAGGUUAGAAGCAAAGGUUAAGUAUUGACCUUGGUGAAACCUUUCUCCUGUAGCCUUGUUGAAGUCCAUUCGAGUUUUGCUUGCAAUAGUUGCAUACUGUGACUAUAGGUUAAGAGAAGUCUCUUGGAAUUGAAAUCUUCGAUUUGAUGAAAAAGUCAAAGUGUUUGAUUUUAUCAAAUUUGAAGAUGAAUUGUGUUGUUUACAAGAAGAUAGUGGGAGUAUUGUCGUAUUCCUAAUAUUAUAGAAAACGACAUCCCUAUGUUUCAAUUUUUGAAAUAAUGGUUGUUAAAAGAUUUAUUCAUGAAUGAUAUGGGAAAAGCAACUUGAUCUAUAGAGAUAGAUCUAGAAAAUUGUCUAACUUACCCCAAUUUACAUAGUUGAAAUCUUGAGAAGAUUUCAUAUGGAGAAAUUGGUUUACUCUUAAGCGGAAUGUUGGAAAGGUUCCAAACGUGAAGCAACCAUUGAUUCAAUAGUAGAAACCUAAUACAUAAUUAUUUUAGAAGUAGCAAAGAGUUACAAUAUGGAUCAUGGUGUUCAUAAAUGAACUUGGAGUAGUUCCUGGUAUUGUUGUUCACAUGCCAUUGUGUUGUGAUAACAUUAAAGUCAUCGCAAAAGUGAAGGAACUAAUGUCUCAUCAAUGAUCCAAACAUAUAAUAAGGCGGUAUAAUCUCAUCAGAGAAAUAAUACAUAGAAAUGACGAAAAAAGAAGAACAAAUUCCCACAUUUAACAAUAUUAUAGAUCCACUGACAAAUAGUUGUCGUAGCUUAAACAUCAUCGUCAUGUAGACUCUUAUGGUAUUGGAUACAUAAGUGAUUGGAUCUAGUGCAAAUGGGAGUUUGUAAGUGUGAUUCCCUAGGUCCAAUCAACCUUGGACAUAGAUCUUUUGAUAUAUAAUUAAUGUAAUUUAAUAACAGAUCUAUUAUUUAAUUAAUAGACAAUUAAAUUAAAUAAUAAAAUCCGUAGAUUCAAAUCUUUGUAAUUUGUUAAUCACAAGGAGUUGUGAUUGUGAGAUACAAAUUACAUUUGAUUGAAUCUUAGAUCGUCCGUGGUCGUAAGUAAUAAUGAGAUACGGAUAUCUUAUUACGGACAGACAAUCACGUGUGGCAUUUCUUACUUGUGAAGUAAGUAGAUGAUUUCACAAGUUAAAGUGUGGUGACACUUAAAUGAACACGUGGAUGUUUUGUUAUAGAGCAAAACAUUGGAGACCCGCAGAGAGAUUCCACGUGGAUAACUAUCCGAGUGUCAGUGUUUAAUCUCUAACGUUCGGUACUGAAAUUGGUCCUUCGCCUUGAGGUCAUCAUGAUACCUUAUAUGAGGACAAUCGUACUUUGACGACGUUGGAUGUUGCUCUGCAAAGGGCCACUAAUACGACAUCGUUCGGGACGUCAAGAAUCGUAUGAAGGUUGUGAUUGACCAAUAAAGGAUUCGUCAAUCUUAGAUAGUAAGAUAUUAUGAUUCAAUUAAGUCGAUGAUGAAAUCCUUGGUCAAAGUGUACUCAUAAGUCAAAAAGAAGUUUUCGACUUAUAUUGACUUAAUAAUGGAGUGAAAGAUAUGAUCGAUAAUCGAGAUUGACACACUUCCAUAUCUCGUAAUUGAUCGAAUCAUAUUAACGAAGGGUUAUAGUUUCACGGUAAACGAACAAAUUUGGUUUUGUCAUACCAGGUGACAUUUCCCGUCAUAUAUAUUGCCCUGACACAUUGUUAGAUGUCAAUCUGGGACGGCGAGUAUAAAUUGGUGAUAAAUUAAAAUGGUGUUUUAAUUUAUCAAUUUUGAUUAGAUCAAAAUAAUAUUUCACAUCAUUAGACAUAGUGAUCGGGAACCUGAUGGGUCGCGCACAAAAAGAGAAUUGGAAGAUCAUAAUUUACCAAUUUAUUAAUUCAUAGCGUUGGAUAAAUUAAUUAAUUGGGUUGCAUAUUUAUAAGCUCGAAUUAAUUAAUUUGAUUAAUUAGUUCACGGACCGAAUUUAAUUAAAUGUUGAACCGAGUCAGGCCAAGCCCGUUUGGGCUUAUAUAAAUAUGAUUAGGGUUUUCAAAAUUGUGGUGAUUUUCAUUAUUCUUGUUAGCACGAGAAGAAAACCCUAAUACUGCAAUCUUGUUCUCUAUGUGGAUCAUCGUUGGAGACUGGACAAUUGGACAGUUGUGGGAGACAGAUCCAAGUUGUUUGAACAAAGAUAUGGCAAAAGAGUUUGCAGAUCUUGUAAAGUUACAUCUUUAUCACAAUUUCUAUCUAAACACAAAGGCGAUUCUUGGUGGGAAUAGAAAUCUAUUUUAAUUUUUCGCUGCGCAUGUUAAGUAGAUUCCCAACAAGGAGCAUGCCGAAGAAGGUGAUGAAGAAGAUUCAUCUCAAGGUGAAGAUGGGACAAUUUUUGACAUCUCAAAUGAGCCUUAAGGAAUCCUAUCUGCUGUUCUUGAAAGGAAUAGCAUCCAAAGGCGGGUUGAGUGGGCUUCCUUGAUACUAAUAUCAAGUAACAGCUAAUAUCAUUCAAGUGGAUUACUAGAUCCUAUUACCAGUUGUGUGCGGGCAAAUGUGUUUGGUAGUUUCUAAAACUUGACGUUUUGUCAACACUGAUCGGGUAAAGUUUUUACCUGCCAUUAACAUAUUUGCAGCUUACGAUUCUAUUGGCUUCUCUUUGGCUCUUCCCAAAUUCCUACAGAAGGUGACUAUCGUAGGUUGUAAGAGGGUCGGCCAACGUAUUGGUUGGGUGCCAAAGUACCUCUUCAAGGCCUUUUGGUUUAAAAAUUAACUUUUUGGCAUAAGAAUCGAAGUUUAUUUAUGAAUUGUGGUUGGUGGAUGGUUUGGCUAACAAUUAGUAAGGUUGUUGUUAUUAUUAUUAUUAUUAUUAUUAUUAUUAUUAUUAUUAUUAUUUUCUAUCAAUACAAUAUUUCAUGCAAUGAUGGCAUGGUUAGGAUCCCGAGCAAUGCAAACAUUCGCGUCCUCAUGAUUUGUUCAUGAUUUCUCUUGCAAGUGUGCAUCAACUUUAACGUUGAAGAUAACUGGAGAAGAUUAGAUAUGUUCAUGAAUCAUACAGGAGAUGGAAGUCUACCUUCUAAUUGUAAAACGGUAAAUGAAAGUUCUUUUGCGUUAGGGGUCCUUUCCUUUUUAUAACUUUAUUGCUUUAGGAGUCCUAUUCAUCUUAUUUUUUUUUCCUUUUCACAUCAGAUGCUUUUUCAUUUUCUAAUUGAAUAAUGCCAUAAUAAUUACAACAUUGAUCCCUCAACUUUGUACCAAUAUUUGCUUUUAAGUCAACUUCAAAAAUCUUAACCUUGCUCAAAUUCUUCAAAAUCUUGACAGCUUAUCCUAAUAUGUCCCUUCUUAUGAAUGUAAUUCAUCAUUACCACACAUUGUCUCAGACUUUGUCAAGAGACUUGAUCAUUUGGAUAUACCACUUGGCUUUGUAAUGUUGGUUGUUUCUAACAAAUUAGUUGAAACCUCAUUCACUGUCACAAUCACAUCUUCAAUUAAUAGUGUGAUCAACAAUGUUUCAUAUAACUUAAACAAGCAUCUUUUGACACAAUAAUUAGUGGCCAGUAGAGAUAAUUUAGGAAUGGUCGCUUAACUUUACGAUAGGUUACUACUUGCUCAUCGAACUUUAAAAAAUUACUCGUAGCUCAUUGAAUAUUGCUAUAGGUUACUACUUGCUCACCGAAAUUCAAAAGGUUACUCAUUGGUCACUUAAAUUUGAAUAAAAUUACUCGUUGCUUAUUGAACUUUGCUAAAGAUAAAGAUGAUGACAAUGAUAUGGGUGAUUGAUGGUUAACUUUGUUCAAAUUUAGGUGAGCAACGAGUAAUAUUUUAAAUUUCGGUUAGCAAGUAGUAAAAUAUAAUAAAGUUCAGUAAGCAACAAGUAACAUUUUAAAAAUUUGUGAGCAAGUAGUAACCUAUAAUAAGUUCAUUGACCAUUAAUUAAAUUAACUCUGGCAGGUAAAAAUAAACUAUCGCACAGUUCCCGUAUAUGUUGAAUACAUACACAGAUUUAGCAUCAUCAAGAAAAGAAAACUUUCUUUUGACACAAUCAUGAUGAGAAUUAUAAGAAGAUAAGGUCCACUUUAAUUCUGUUUGGAGUUGUUUAUAUUAAUUUAAUUUAUGAAUAGAUAUAAAUGAGUUGUGGAUAAAUGAGUAAUACUUAUGAAUUUCACGAAAUAUGUGAAUAAAAUUAGUUUGAUCGAUUUUAAACAUAUUAUAAACAAGAGGUGAACAAGGGCUUUAACAAAGAGGAGCACAUGCACUAAAUAAAAUAAAUCAUACUUGUGUUAGUAGCAUUGGAAUUCAUUUAUUUUGGUACAUGGUGGAUAAACCCUAGCCCAGAGAUAUUUAAUGAAUUAAUUUGUGCCAUAAUUUAAAAUAAAAAUAAAAAUAAAAAUUAGAGAAUCGUGCUGAUAGAAUAUUUUAAAAUAAAGAUACAUCAUCACCUUAGAGAGAAAUAUUUCUUUUAACAUGAUCAUGAUGUGAAUAAAAAGACAAGGUUCACUUAAGCAUGUUUGGGAGUUGUUUAUAACUUGCUCGAAUUAUAAAUGGAUAUAAAUGAGUAGUGUAUAAGUGUAUAAUACUUGUAAACUCUAUGAAUAUGUAUGUAGAUAAAAAGUAGUAAGAUGGAUAUAAAUCGGAUGCAAGCAAGGGCGAGAGAGAGGACAAUAAAAUAAUUAAUAACACUAUAAAAAAUUGCGGCUUAGAGAUGAAAAUUUUCAUUGUCAAUGACUUAAAUUUUGUAGCUAACGAACUUUACCAACGGACUCGAUCCGUCGAGAAACUUGAUAGUGAAACUCUUGUUGCUAAUUUAACAACGAAUUUCUUAGGUUGUCGGUAUAUUAAUGACUAAAAAAACCAUCAAUGUUUACUAAUAACUAUUUUUGUAGCUAAUAAACAACGAUUUUAGCAACAAAUUUUUCGUUAGAUUUCCUACGGACUAAAUUCAUCGUUGAUUAGCGACGGACUUCCAUUGUUAUUUUCGUCGCUAAUUCGAUUUAUAAUUUAUUUAUUUUUAAAAAAACUUACGAUUAUUAUUUUAAUAAUUCUUUUCUUUGAACUUUAAUAUUAUAAAGUCUGAACUCAAAAGUUAAGAAAUGAUAAUGUUCAAUAAAAUGUAGAAACUAGAAUAUGAAAUUGCAAACAUAUUCAUUCAGUUCCUUUGUUGGUUUUGUUAAUUGAGAUGAAGCAUAUUCACGUCUUAACUUGAUGCCAUUCCUUCCAAAACCUACAAUACUAGAUUUGUGAAUUGUGUAUUUUAUUAAUUGCGAAUUGUUUAUGUUAUUCUAAUGAUGGACCCAUAUAUAGGAUUCAAUGAAAAUUACAAACUAAUCAAAAUACAGAUUUGUUGAUAAAACUAAAUAGUCAUCAAUAAUUAUCUAUUAUUUACAACACGAAAUAUAGGUUCUUUACAAAUUAAUUUUAGCAAAGCAAAUUGCUUAUCUUUGUCCAUUAGAUUUUGGGAGAUGGAGUAGUUACAAAACUCACCAAAUGUUAACUGUUUUAGCAAUGGUUCCUUGCCUGUUGUCAAAGCUGAUCUUUAAUAACGUCCAAUGAACGUUGCAAAAAUAAUGCUAAAUAUGUAAACUUCUUGCAAUGUGCAAUGAAAGUUGUUAAAUAACAUAUUAACAACAUCCAUUAAAAUACUGUUGUCAAAUAUGAAUUAUGUUAGUUAACUGCAACAUGCAUUUACCGACGGUUACUAUAGACCCUUUCAGCAAUACGCAAUUAAUGAAUAUUGCAAACCUUUUUUUUCUCGUAUUGAUAUUCCAACUGUCAGGCGAUUUUUACAAGGCAAAAUAUUUCCAUACAAUUUGCAGUGUGCAACACAUUCCAUGGACUGUGUGUUGGCUUUAUCCCCUCAAACAUUGCAAUUUCAAACUAAAUAAACAGGUAAAUUUAAUAAGAAUCCGAAUAGACAUGUUAUCCAUAACUUCACAAUAAUUAAAGCCUGGUCAAAUUUCUCGAUUUCCUCUGACAGUUAACAGAUGAAUGAGAAAGAAACAGGAAGUCCCCAUUGACACGAGAAGAUAAUUGUAGGGCAUACUUCAUCCAACAUCAUUCUUUUAAACAUCCGACAUCAUUCUUUUAAAAAUGUCAAAGUAAAUCCUAGCUAUCUUUUUUGGUAUUAAAAUCACUGAAAAUGCCUUCCAAUUCAAGUUUCUAGACUUUGAUAACCUGAAACCUUUAAAUCUUCCAUUUAUUUUCUUCUUCCAGUGCUUUUUAGGCCUUACUGCCUUCUUAUAAGCCUCUGGUAUCGUGCUGCCAGUCGACCCGCAUACAAUUCUUAGAAGUCCAUCUUCAGAAACGUUAAUGGAGUAUGUGUGCAAUGAGUCUGUAGCGAAUUUCAAAUACAUACAACCCUGAGUUUAUAUACAGAGUGAUAGGGUAAAUAAUAAAGUUAAGCACAUGGAGAAUACCUUUCGCAGUACUAUUUCAAACAUAUACUAGUUCAUGGAAAGAGAUUAAAAUUGCCAGUGUUUGGAUUCCUCGAACACAUGGCUAACAUCAUAUUUUAACCGAAUACAUUGUAUACUUUAAGAAUGAUACAGAUAGAGUACAUACAUAUUCUUGCUUAUUAGCUUAAAAUUAUAUAUACAAAUGCACUUUUCGAUAAUUUUAAAUCAAGGCUAAGUGACUAGAAAAACCACCAAUUCUGUGUAGCCUCUCUUUUUUGUUACUUUUAUUUAUUUGUUCCUGUGUGAAUAGACUAAAAGGGAUCUCGAUUAUAAUUUUCUGUGAAGUCGCCCUAGACGAGGGGUUAGUAUGGGACGCAUUUUAUUCCGCUGUUUUCUUGGAUAACUUCUUGUUACCAUAUGUAGCACAUCAUAUUAUGUCACGUCGGCGGCCUAAUCAAUCUUUCACUUACUUGAUAGGGUAACAAAAUAUUUCACAUACAAAUUUUUGGGGUAAAUUUUUGAGAAGUUUUUUUUCCCUAAUUUUUAACUACAAAGUUCUCCAAGAAAAUCACUUUUAUAAAAUCAAUUUAAAAAAUGGGGCUCUAACAGGAGCACAGAUAAAGGAAUAUCGAAGGCAUUUGCUAUCAUUGGUAUUCAUAUUAAAAAUUCAAAAGCAAUGAUUUAGCUGAAGAUAAACAAAGCUUUUGUGAUGGAUAGCAAGACGUACAUCUUGUCCUUUUUGAAGAAAACAGCCUUUUGGUGUAAUUUAAAUAAGGAAAUCGAUCCUUACUAUUCAUCAUUAAGAUCUCCGAAAUGUUCGUUUGUAACCUCAUAAUGUGACCCAUAUUAUUUGAAAUAAAAUUCCACAUUGCUAAAUAGCAAUUGUUUGGCACAACUUAUUUCAAAAUUAUUUUUUCUCAAACUUAUUUUUAACCACACAUUCUUCCAAUAAAAUAAUUUUAUCUAUGGACCCAAAACUUUUUUCAACUUUCUAACUACACAUUUUACAGAGAAAUCAUUUUUCAUUUCAAAUAAUCUCUCUCAAAAAACACUAAAUAUCGAUCAAAAGGAGAGAGAACAAAUUUUAUAAAACUAUAUUGUAUUUCAAAAUCCUUCGCCAAAAAAGUUUGUAAAAAACUAAGCUGAAAGUACUGUAAAACUCUUUCCUUUACUUAUUUUAUGAUAUUUUUAGUCAUGCAAACGGGAAAAAAGUUUCGGUACACUCAGAGUAUAAAAUACUCAAUCCUCUAUAUCCCUGUAUAACUUGACAUCUAUAUUAAUCAAUUGAGAUCCAUUAUUUAAUCGAGAUUCAGACAUGAAUAACACAUGUCAAAAGUGGAGAGUAAUACUGAAUUUUCAUAAUAUAAGAGUAGUAGAAGUUUAAAAUUAUGCUACUUGUUGACCCCAAAUAAGAUGAGACAUAGUUAAUUAACAUAUCAUAGCUCUUCUCUCAUAUGUUACUUGCAUAUUAGACAACCAUGUUAGAUUUCACAGUUCAUAACUCCGACAGGAUGUGAUAGGUAACAUACACUUUGAUGGUCAUGUCAGAUGAUGAAGCAUAUCCGUUGUACGAGAAAUACAAUAAAUGAAAAAUAUAGGUGCAGAGUUUUAUUUUAUCAAGAAUAAAGCGUGUGAAAUGAUUGCAGACAUCGGAAGCUAUGAGAACAUUGUGUCAAAGACGUUGGUAUAUUUGUUGAAAUUAUCAACUAAGAAUCAUCCUAAACCUUAUUCAUUUGGUUGGGUGAAGAGAGGUCCUUCUAUUCAGGUUGCUAAGACUUUUAAACACAUAUUUCCAUUGGUAAGCGUUAUAAUGAUGAGAUUAUGUGUGAUGUCAUAGACAUGGAUGCUUGCAAUAGUCUAUCGGCUCAUUCAUGGCAGUUUGAUUUGGAUUCAACUCUCAAAGGGCGUGAUAAUGUGGUACUUUUUUCAUAAAGCAGUCUUAAGAUUGCUAUGAUUCCUCUCAAAUAGGUGGAGAAAUCUACUCAACAACGAACUAUGGCUUUCUUACCCUUACUAGUAACGAGAAGGAGAUUGCAGAGUCUGUAAGAAAAUUAGAUUAUUUUUAUCCAGUUAUAGUUAAGGGGAUUUUCAUAGCAAAUAAGGAAGAUGGGGGGUAUUCCGUCUAAGGUGCAAGAAUUAUUAACAGAAUUUAAAGAGUUGGUUUUCGAAGAAUUUCUCAAUGAGUUACCUCCUAUGAGAAAUAUUCAACACCAAAUUGAUUUGGUACUUGAGGCUAGCUUUCUAAAUUUGCCUCAUUACCAAAUAAGUCUAAAGGAAAAUGAGGAUUUGUCUAUUCAGGUGACUCAAUUUUGUAAGGUACCUUUGUCGAUUAAGAUUUGUCACAAAUCAGAAGUUACUUGUGAUCUUGUUCAGUCGGAUGUGUGUCAUAUUCUACCGGAUAGAUCAUGGCAAAUUAAUGUGGAAGACAUAUGUAAGGAUACCUACAAGUUUAAGUGAAAGAAUAAAAAGAUUAUAACAAGGAUAACAAAUAAAGCUUCUAAAGUGGAAGGAAAAGAUUUUCAGACUAUUACAAAUUCGAACAAUGAGUUUUCCUUUGAUAAGCCUUUAUAUCCCCAUGACGGCUCGGGGUUGAGUUGUUUUGAAGUGGAAGGGAAUAAUGCAGAACAAUACCAAGAGAAAAUCUAAAAUCAACUAGGAAAAGAAAUAAAUAAGAUAAACAUUAUUUUUUCACUAGUAAACUUGUAUUUAACUCUAUUUUUUCUUCUUGUAUUUUAUCUUUUUUAGGUAUAGUUGUAAUAGGACUUUUAUCUUUUAUUUAAUUAGGAUUAUAAUUUCUUUAUUGAUUAAAAUAUGAAUUUUAAUUAUAUUAGAUUUUAUUAGUUUCAUAAUUUUAGACUUCUUAUAUUAGUAAGAUUAGCAGAUAAUUUUGCCUAUAUGUAAGGGCUUUGUAGACUUUUUUAGAGUUCAAUUCAUUAUUCGAUUCUUGAUUAUUAAGAUAUUUCAAAUUUUCAAUUUACUGGCGAAAUUUGAGAACCCGUUCAUUUGUUAUGAACUCAACACUUUUAUUUUUAUUCACGCUUCAGUCCUGCAUCAAAGAAUAUAGUAAACUAUUUUAAAGAUACUGAAGGAAAUUGAUCAAUUUCCAUCUGAAACUGGUCAAGAUUUGAAAUUGUAGACAUAGUUACUGAAUACUUAACUAGAUCACUUAACGAAGAUUUUUUUUAUAGUAAUUUAGAUUAUUUAUGAGUCGAUUAUUAUUGAUUUUAGUAUAUUUUUGUGCUUAUGAUGAAAUUACUGAGCAGACUACGGAGAAGUAUGAAAAUAUACAAUCGAUAAAGCAACACAAUUAUGUAAUUCUCAUCACUAUAUAUUAUGUUGUGUAUAUAUGUAUACUGAAAAAAAAAUAAAAAUACAAUUUUGUGUAAACCAAAACUAAUCCACUCAAAACCAAAACUUUAAUACAAUAAUUGAUACUUUGGUCAACUGUCCAUUACCAAAUAGUAAUAAUUAAUUAUCCUAAAUUUGCAGCACUAUUACCAAUUAACCGAUCAAAAUUAGGGCCCUUACAUCAAAGUCGAAACCCUCUUCGUCUUUAAUUCUUAUGUCGCAAACAUUGAGAAUCAAAAGCUCCACAAUACCGAUGAUUUUAAAUUUAUAGUUUGAUAUACAUACAUGUUUUUUUCCUUAUUAUCACGAACAAAAUAUGAAAGCUAUUAUAAUCAAUCAACUAGUAAUGGUAAGGUGAACAUGAAGAAAAAAACUUAGAGUCGCGUUUUAAAAUCAAAUCAAACCGUUAGGUUUGUCUUUGAGAAAAUCUCAAACGAUUUCGAUAGUUUGGCUUAGGUUUAUAUUUUUUCAAAUUGUUUUUAAUGGUUUGGUUUGAAAAUCAAUCAAAAAGUUGUCAAAUUAGACUCUUAAAUAGCUGGACAAUUAAGAAUUUUGAGAGAAAUUGUCUAAUUAUGCUAAUAUUUUCUUAACAAGCCAUAUUGACAAUGGAAAGGAAUGCUGUUGAGGAAUCAUCUAAAGAUAUUCUUCUUGACAAAGUAGGAGACCUACACAGUAGUCCUUUAAUAGAUUAAAAAAGAAAAAGAAAAAGGGGGGGGGGGGGGUUCUCAAUCCACUUAUGAAGAAUAUUUGUGCAAUUAUCAUAGAGAUAAACCAAGCAGGUUUAGUGUAAUAAAUCAUAAAAACAUUUGUGAAUUAUGAUAGAGAUUUGAAAUCGGAUUUACAUACUGAGAAUUUGAAAUCAUCUUCAGUUAUAUAAAGUUUCUCGAUCUGCUUAUGAAGAAUCAGUAUAUAACAUUUAAUUUAGUUUAUUUUCAAAUUCAAAUUGUCAUGAAUAUUUUGUUAGUCUGCAAACCCUAAAUCACCUUGGAUCAAUUUUCUAACUCCAAAAAGAUUAAAAACAUUCACAAAUCCUUACAAAAGAGAAACAUGAAACCAGACGUUGAAAUUGAUCAUCCCAAGUCGGGAAAAUAAAAAUUAAAAAAAAAAUUCUUAUAACAAACAAGAAUGUGGAUAAUAAACAUCAUUGGACGUAGAGCAACUCUUGUAGUUACGCAGGCAAUGAAAAAACUUUCUUAUCCUCGCGAAAAACCGCCCGUUUCUGAGUUUGAAAUCCUGCAUCUUCUUCAAAUUUCUUGCUGAUCUAAGCCUCCUGCAUAUAACCCUUUUCACUUUAAUGGGAAAUUUAUUAAACCGCUCUCUGACAGUUUGCUUCCUACUGAACUUGUAGCUUCUCAAGAAUAUUUGCCUCUUCUCCAUCUUAAUUCUGAACGUGUCCAUUGAAUCUGCAUUUGUAUCGUUAAGUCCCAUACUUAAACACGAAAAUUUGUGCUGCGCUCGUAUAGAGUUUUGAAGGGAGGAAGAAUAUAUGGCAAAUAGAUUGAGGGAGAGGGUUUAUAUAUACAUAGAGUAAGAAGGAAUUGGACUUCUCUAAUUUCUUGUAUGGUAAGGAUAGGACUUCUCUAUUUUGCAUAUUUCGAUUGUGGGUCGCUUGACAUGGUGAAGUACUAGAUUAGUAGGCCGAUUGUUUAAUCGACUGGUCACGAAUUGAAGUAAUAUAUCAAUAUUGGUUAACCGUCAAUUAAAAAAAAAAUAUUGCGUAAUCAAACAUCAAAUGUCAUAGUGUCCCGUAUUGAAAAAAAAAAAUUAUGUAGCAUUGUAAUUUAAUAAUGAAAAUAUCUUAAAUAAUCUCAUUAUUAUUUUAGAUCAAAAUCAAAUAUAUAUUUAUCAAAUUCUUUUAAUUCUGUGUAACGCAUUUUUUAGACAACCAAUUAUUAACAUAAUAAUGAUUGAUUAUUGAAAAUUUGAAAUUGAAAUAACUUCCUUGUGAGAAUAAUUACUGUCCUAAUAUUGUUACAAAUUUGUAUUCACCGUUUUAACUUAAUUUCCUCCUUACCAAAUAUUUGAUUUUUACGUUUAUAUUGGAUUAUUUUGAAGUUGCAACUAUAUAUGAAUGUCCUUAAUCGUAUAUAUGUUUAUUUUACUAAGAUGUGAAAUGCUUAAUACCAGUCAAUUGUUUCGUAAAGCAAUUUGUACCAAUACAUAAAAAGAAAAGUUAUGAGACUCCAUGAUACUCCAUUUGCAAUUUUAUAAUAUUUUUAAUUGUUUUUACUGCUUUAUUUUAUGUUUACUUAUUUAAAGCGAAGGAAAAAUCCAUAAUUUAAUGGUCAAAAUAGAGGGAAUGACGAGUUUUAUUAUAUAAUUGGAACGUUUUGGAUUUAUAAUUUCAAAAAAGGUUGAUAGUAAAUUUAUUAAUUUCGCAAAUGUUGAAGAAGAAGUGCCCUCGAAUCUUUUAUUGUGUUUUCAAUCAAUACCUUGCAAUCAUCUGCUAGUCCCUUCAACCUAAUUUUCUGCUUCGUAAUUAAAUUUAUUUACAUCAAAUUGAUUUCACACCAAUUUGGUAUACCGUUAAAGAUGCCCUUGUGAUUUAUUUUUAGUAUGUGUGUGGCUUUAAUUAUAAAAAAGCAAUUUCAUAUUUAUACAUUUAAUCUCAACAUUUUAUGAAACCAAUCAUAUAAAUUUGUGAGUUCUUUAAUGGAGAUAAAUAACAUUAUUCAUAAGAUUGAGCGUUGGGGGUAAUAUGUUUUAAUUUUAUUAAUAAUAGACUUGGUCUGAUGUCAAAGCGGGCAUGAAUUAUAAUGGCACGGCAACAUUCAUUGAAUUAUGAUGGCGUGGCAACAAAACAACGAAUGUUGCCACACCCAUUAUAGACGUGAAAACGCAAUAUCGGAAGUAGUCACGUUCAUGAUAGACAUUAUAAUUCAUGCGCCACAUGACAACAUCUGUCGAUUGCGGUCAUUAGAUCAUUUCUGUUAUUAGUAAUAAUAUUACUAAUAUCAAUUAUCAAAGACAAGUAGAUAAUCACUAGACAAGAUUUAUCGUUUAAAAUUGGUUGUCCAACUUACUAUUUAUUCAACGAUUAUUGAUACUCAAUUUAGAUUAAUAUGUUUAACUUUUCCCUCGUUACCACUAAUACUUAAAAAUAUGCGUAAAAUAAUGUGUCAAAAAAUAUAACAAAUUGAGCAGCCAAUUUUGGAGCAUCUCAACUCACAUUGCAUUACUUAACGAUGACAACAAAUGCAUUUUAAGUAGCCAUUAUUUCCUGUCUGUCCCACUCCAGCAUUAACACCCUUUCCCACCCCAAUUUCAUCUCAAAUUCGUCUUCAACACCAGCAACAGAUCUACUCUUAAUCGAUCUUUUCCAUCUCCUGGAAGUGUUUGUUACCAGUGUUGCAGCGGACGGUUCCCCCAAAAUUUCCUCUUUGAUUUCACCAUCAGGUUAGUCGUAUUCUUUCAAUAAUUCAUUUCUGAUUUUAAGAUAUGUAGUAUAGUUGUUAUAUAACACGCCCAUUUCUCAUUUUCUUGUUUUUGUGAAGAAUAAUUUAUUUAACCUAAGUUUAUUUUCUGCUUCAUUGUGUCAAUUAAUCCAAUAGUUCAUGAUAAAAGAAUUAUUUCAUGUCUUUUUUCGCAGUUUUUGAAGUAAUUUCUUUUUUGGGGAGUCUUGGUUUUUUGCGAGUUUCUGGGCAAUUCGAGGGAGUUAUUCGUUCUAUAUGUAGCAGUAAAACUUGGAUCAAUUUUCUAACUCCAAAAAGAUUAAAAACAUUCACAAAUCCUGACAAAAGAGAAACAUGAAACCAGACGUUGAAAUUGAUCAUCCCAAGUCGGGAAAAUAAAAUUAAAAAAAAAAAAUCUUAUAACAAACAAGAAUUUGGAUAAUAAACAUCAUUGGACGUAGAGCAACUCUUGUAGUUACGCAGGCAAUGAAAAAACUUUCUUAUCCUCGCGAAAAACCGCCCGUUUCUGAGUUUGAAAUCCUGCAUCUUCUUCAAAUUUCUUGCUGGUCUAAGCCUCCUGCAUAUAACCCUUUUCACUUUAAUGGGAAAUUUAUUAAACCGCUCUCUGACAGUUUGCUUCCUACUGAACUUGUAGCUUCUCAAGAAUAUUUGCCUCUUCUCCAUCUUAAUUCUGAACGUGUCCAUUGAAUCUGCAUUUGUAUCGUUAAGUCCCAUACUUAAACACAAAAAUUUGUGCUGCGCUCGUAUAGAGUUUUGAAGGGAGGAAGAAUAUAUGGCAAAUAGAUUGAGGGAGAGGGUUUAUAUAUACAUAGAGUAAGAAGGAAUUGGACAUCUCUAAUUUCUUGUAUGGUAUGGAUAGGACUUCUCUAUUUUGCAUAUUUCGAUUGUGGGUCGCUUGACAUGGUGAAGUACUAGAUUAGUAGGCCGAUUGUUUAAUCGAUUGGUCACGAAUUGAAGUAAUAUAUCAAUAUUGGUUAACCGUCAAUUAAAAAAAAUAUUGCGUGAAUAUAAUCAAAUAUCAAAAGUUAUAGUGUCCCGUAUUGAAAAAAAAUUAUGUAGCAUUGUAAUUUAAUAAUGAAAAUAUCUUAAAUAAUCUCAUUAUUAUUUUAAAUCAAAAUCAAAUAUAUAUUUUUCAAAUUCUUUUAAUUCUGUGUAACGCAUUUUUUAGACAACCAAUUAUUAACAUAAUAAUGAUUGAUUAUUGAAAAUUUGAAAUUGCAAUAACUUCCUUGUGAGAAUAAUUACUGUCCUAAUAUUGUUACAAAUUUGUAUUCACCGUUUUAACUUAAUUUCCUCCUUACCAAAUAUUUGAUUUUUACGUUUAUAUUGGAUUAUUUUGAAGUUGCAACUAUAUAUGAACGUCAUUAAUCGUAUAUAUGUUUAUUUUACUAAGAUGUGAAAUGCUUAAUAUCAAUCAAUUGUUUCGUAAAGCAAUUUGUAUCAAUAUAUAAAAAGAAAAGCUAUGAGACUCCAUGAUACUCCAUUUGCAAUUUUAUAAUAUUUUUACUUUUUUUACUGCUCUAUUUUAUGUUUAUUUAUUUAAAGAAAAGGAAAAAAAAUCAUAAUUUAAUGUUCAAAAUAGAGGGAAUGAUGAGUUUUAUUAUAUAAUUGAAAGGUUUCGGAUUUAUAAUUCCAAAAACGGUUGAUAGUAGCACUACAACAAAAUGGUCUUUUUAAUGCACGCCAUAAAAAGUCAUUUCGGCGUGCGGAUAUAAAGCAAUGCCGUAAAUAGGAAGAUUUUUUUACGACGUGCAAAAGACGCCGUAAAAGAAUGCCGUUAAUAACUUUUUAUUGCGUUCACAGUUAUGCCGUAAAAGCUCACUAUUUACGGCAUGCAUUACACACCGUAAAAAGUUUAAACUUACUUUUUACGGCGCACACGUGCGCACCGUAAAUAGUGAGUUUACAUUUUUACGAUUUAGUUUUUUAAAAAUAUUUGUCUAUUUGGUUACCAACAAACCCAUAAUAAUACAAAACGAAAAGAUACACAUUAAUCAUAUACAAAUAGAUUUUAUAUAUGUCCAAUAAACAAAAAAAUUGUUUUUAUAUUUUAAUUACAACUUCACUGAUUUAUUUAAAAAAUAUAUAAAUUCGACGCCAUAAAGGAGCCAAAGAUGAGGUACAUAAUUGUAAUAAUCGGGUAACAAAUGUUACGCUCAUGAAGGAAAUAAAAAUCAAAAAGGUUCGACACAUACUUAAAGAGAGUAGGACAAUGAAAAGGAGAGAUUACCGAAAUUAGGAACAUAAUAGUUUUCAGCUGUGUGAUGUCAAAAAAUAGUAAUUACAAGAAAUGGAUUCUACAUUUAUCCGAAGUCUUUCUCCUCUUUAUGUGUCUACCACUAACUUUGUCUCACAUACAGCAUGUAGAUAUAAUCCUGCAAAAUAGAGUGAAACUACAAUAGGCUAAGAAUACGGAGAGGAGAGAAACAAACAAAAUUUCAAUCGUAACACAAGGCAUUGCAACUCAAUCAAAGAUGAAACUUUCCCGAUGAAUUCCGAGCUAACAUAAGCUAAAACCGUAAAAAUUAUACAGAAAAGCGCCAUAUAUGUUUUUAGACAGAAGAAUAUUACAAUUUCCUCCAGGACAUUACAUGACAUUUCAUUUUGCCAAAGGAUUGUAAGGGGAACAGGGCAUUGGUGAAUGAUUCCGUCUCUGAAUCUCUUUCAGAGUUUGAGUUUAAUUUUUUCACAGUUCAACAAAGAUAUUUUAAAUUCUUUUGAAGCCUAUCUAACUCAAGAAAUGGAAUUCAUAAUGUGUUCUCCACUGUGAGUAAUCGAUGUGGUUCGUAGUUUCUUUGUACCGUAUUCUUUCUUUGAUAUUCAUCUCCUUGAAACUGUUUCCCCACACUUUGGGAACAGCUUCUAUAGAUUCCUAGCACAUUCAAUUAUCAAGUCCAAGGAUCUAUUCUUUAUAACUCUACCACUGGACCUCAGAAAUAAGAAAAGUCAUGAUUCUUUGUUCUUGAAGACUAUUUAUCAGCACCAAGAACAUGCGCUAAUCUUCUUUCCUUGUUUUAUCUUGCUCUAAACAAUUAAUCUUCCCUUAUUUGGCAAGAACAUAUUGUCGCCAAUAAUUUUCUAUCGUUUUCAUCAUCACUUUAUCCCGCCCAUAUUAUCCUACCAGAGCUUUGCAUAAAGUUCACUAAAAAGAUCUUCUUGAAGGUGACAUCAAUUUUAUUACCUCGCAACACUAAUAAAAAUUCAUAAUUAAUAUUUUAAUGACCAAUCAGCAUGGUUCUAUUUUUUUACUCGAGAUAUUAAUCUAAUCUUAUAACACUCUUUCAAUGAAAAGUACAUGUCAAACAGUUUAGAGAUGCAAAAGAGAGAUCUCCAAAAAAUUUUCAAGGACUAUUAACUCUGCAAUAGAAAUUCUAUGAGCCGAAAGCAUGAAUUGAUGAAGUUACCUGCCGAUUCAAAUAAGAGGUGUCAGUUUUGUUGAAAACACCUUUGACAGCCCAAAUAAUCGAACAAACAUCCACUGAAACUCAUAGUACUUAAUUUGGAGCACAAAUUAUUGUCCACUGUUUCUUUAUGUUUUUUAUUCACUCUAAAUUUGCAAUUAAGCUCCGACAACUACACCGAUCAGUAUGUAAAAUACAUAAAAGUGAACUCCAAUGAAACAUUAAUCAGACUAUUAGCCUAUCAUAAGACCUAAGAUUGCAGUUCAGAAGGGACGAAAAACAGGUCGAGAUAUAAUUGUAGGCCUUAGUAAAAUCCCAGCAACUUCUUUACUGAGGGAGAGAAAGAACAACUAAUUUUCCAUUGAACUUGUAUGAAGAAAAAAGGUACGGAUUUCCCUUUUUAAGGGUGAAAUGUACUUAAACUCUAGCAAUAAAAACUCACGCCCCAUUUAUUCCCCCAAUAAACAGCCCCUAAUCUCGCUAAAAAGAUGAACCUACGCAAAAAUACCUGCUCAAAGGAUCCAAGUUCUAGAAUCCAAUAAAUAUUGCUCCUAGAUUUCAACUUCUACCUAAUAUGUAUGUAUUACACGAACCCAAAAGUAACCCAGCUCUACAUACUUUCUCCUCUCGAGACUCAACAACUAUCUGUCAUUUUCACUUUCUAUACAACUAUAAUGUUGACAUGUGUAACUUCAACCAAUUUCUACGAAAAUUACAUUCACAGACUACUACAUCUAUAUGUACAAAAUCAACACUGAGUAAUUCACCGAGUAAUGAUAUCUUGUAAUAAAUUACCACCCUCCCAGUAGCAGAUUGAGAAGUCCAGUAAAAAACAGUUCCACCAGUCCUCAACACUCUUGCUUUCAUCUAUUUAGCAAUAGAGACAUGAUUAUUUGUCUUUCUAUUAGCAGAAGCAACUUUUUCACAACCUUGAGUGCAAUUAAUUGUGUCCAAGAAAAAAAUACUGAUAAAAAAAAUUGUGUCCAAGAAAAUCUAAGAUUUAUAAAUCUGAGAUUUCAAGAGCAUUCAAAAAUCAAUUUGAAGAGCAUUCGAAAAAUCAAUUUCAAGCUCCUAGGUCUAAUUUCAAGAGCAUUCAAAAAUCAGAUUUAAUUCAAGACUUCAAUCCAUCCAAUAGCAAUUCAAAAGUAAUUUCAUAUGUUAAAAACAAACAAUUAAUAAGUAAAAAACUGUCAAUAUUCAACUACAGAUAAAAACUUAAGAAAAACUUGAUUGUAGGGAUAGAGUUCGGGAAUCAAAAUCAGGGGGCUCACCUUCUCCUUCUGCAAUUUUUGCUGUGCUGGUGCUAGCGUUGCGAAUCGAAGGUUAAGGAGGCUCAGCCCUCAAGGUCCCACUAUCUCAGGUUCGCAGUCUGCUGUCGGUGCUUCAAGGGCUCUAUUUCGAAGCCCGAAGGUGUUGCUGCUGCGUGAAUCGUGACUUGCAUCUAGAGCAGCCGCGAUUGAGAAGUUCAACAUCGGAGACUGCAGAUAAAUGGCGAAGACACAGAGGCGGCUGAUGACUAAUUGAAGAAAGUGUUUUUUUGGGAGAGAACGGCAUGAACGCAGUAGGAACGAACGAAGACGCCAGCCCUAUUUGGUAAAAUUGAAGGAGAUGGAAAAUAAUUGAGACGAGACGAAAAGAUAAG
rnacentral:lncRNA from 1 species